rnacentral:rRNA from 1 species
AUUGAACGCUGGCGGCAGGCUUAACACAUGCAAGUCGAGCGGGGGAAGGUAGCUUGCUACCGGACCUAGCGGCGGACGGGUGAGUAAUGCUUAGGAAUCUGCCUAUUAGUGGGGGACAACAUCUCGAAAGGGAUGCUAAUACCGCAUACGUCCUACGGGAGAACGCAGGGGAUCCUCGGACCUUGCGCUAAUAGAUGAUCCUAAGUCGGAUUAGCUAGUUAGUGGGGUAAAGGCCUACCAAGGCGACGAUCUGUAGCGGGUCUGAGAGGAUGAUCCGCCACACUGGGACUGAGACACGGCCCAGACUCCUACGGGAGGCAGCAGUGGGGAAUAUUGGACAAUGGGGGGAACCCUGAUCCAGCCAUGCCGCGUGUGUGAAGAAGGCCUUAUGGUUGUAAAGCACUUUAAGCGAGGAGGAGGCUACUCUAGUUAAUACCUAGGGAUAGUGGACGUUACUCGCAGAAUAAGCACCGGCUAACUCUGUGCCAGCCGCCGCGGUAA